rnacentral:rRNA from 1 species
ACGUACACUCCUACGGGAGGCAGCAGUGGGGAAUAUUGGACAAUGGGCGCAAGCCUGAUCCAGCCAUGCCGCGUGAGUGAUGAAGGCCCUAGGGUUGUAAAGCUCUUUCACCGGUGAAGAUAAUGACGGUAACCGGAGAAGAAGCCCCGGCUAACUUCGUGCCGGCAGCCGCGGUAAUACGAAGGGGGCUAGCGUUGUUCGGAUUUACUGGGCGUAAAGCGCACGUAGGCGGACUAUUAAGUCAGGGGUGAAAUCCCGGGGCUCAACCCCGGAACUGCCUUUGAUACUGGUAGUCUUGAGUUCGAGAGAGGUGAGUGGAAUUCCGAGUGUAGAGGUGAAAUUCGUAGAUAUUCGGAGGAACACCAGUGGCGAAGGCGGCUCACUGGCUCGAUACUGACGCUGAGGUGCGAAAGCGUGGGGAGCAAACAGGAUUAGAAACCCUUGUAGUCCCAUGAU